GACGUAGGGGGCGAGCGUUGUCCGGAAUCACUGGGCGUAAAGCGCACGUAGGCGGACUCUUAAGUCGGUGGUGAAAUCCUGGAGCUCAACUCCAGAACUGCCUUCGAUACUGAGAGUCUCGAGUCCGAGAGAGGUGAGUGGAACUGCGAGUGUAGAGGUGAAAUUCGUAGAUAUUCGCAAGAACACCAGUGGCGAAGGCGGCUCACUGGCUCGGUACUGACGCUGAGGUGCGAAAGCGUGGGGAGCGAACAGG
rnacentral:rRNA from 1 species